UUGACCUCGGAUCAGGUAGGAAUACCCGCUGAACUUAAGCAUAUCAAUAAGCGGAGGAAAAGAAACCAACAGGGAUUGCCCCAGUAACGGCGAGUGAAGCGGCAACAGCUCAAAUUUGAAAUCUGGCCCCUAGGGUCCGAGUUGUAAUUUGUAGAGGAUGCUUUUGGUGAGGUGCCGCCCGAGUUCCCUGGAACGGGACGCCACAGAGGGUGAGAGCCCCGUCUGGCUGGCCACCGAGCCUCUGUAAAGCUCCUUCGACGAGUCGAGUAGUUUGGGAAUGCUGCUCAAAAUGGGAGGUAUAUGUCUUCUAAAGCUAAAUAUUGGCCAGAGACCGAUAGCGCACAAGUAGAGUGAUCGAAAGAUGAAAAGCACCUUGAAAAGAGGGUUAAACAGUACGUGAAAUUGUUGAAAGGGAAGCGCUUGUGACCAGACUUGGGCGCGGCGAAUCAUCCGGGGUUCUCUCCGGUGCACUUCGCCGUGUUCAGGCCAGCAUCAGUUCGGCGCGGGGGAAAAAGGCUUCGGGAACGUGGCUGCUCCGGCAGUGUUAUAGCCCGUUGCAUAAUACCCUGCGCUGGACU
rnacentral:rRNA from 1 species